AGCUGUGACUGUAAUGCAUUCAUUAGGUAAUCCAUCUAUCUACAUACUCAACUACAGGACAUGCAGCUUCCUGCUGCACGUGGGCAAACUGUGUGGCUAUGUGUCCCGGAGAGGGGAUUCUGUGUGCUCCUCUCUACCUCUUCUCUACAUCUCCUACUUCAAUUAUUCCUACAUUAGUCAUGCUGGUGAAUAUGGUGACUCAAGCACAAAAAGGAAAAUGUGUUCCUCGAACUAAAUUGGAUGAAAUUGUGCAAUUUAGCUUUUUCAAAGGAGAAAGAAUACCUCGUUUAUUUGACUGUUCUUUUGUGAACUCUGCAAGUGUAACUCUUUCUUUGUCGUUUAACACAGUGGGUGACCAGCUAGGCACUGGCUCCUUUGACCACACUGUUUCUCUGUGGGAUGUUCCAUCUGGGAGGCGUGUCCACACACUGAUAGGUCACAGAGGGGAGAUAAGCAGUGUUCAGUUUGACUGGGUCUGCUCCCUUCUCAUCACCGGCUCCAUGGACAAAAGCAGUAGGUAUGUGUUUGUGUACCGGAAUGUGUGCGUGUGUCUCUGCUUCCCCAGGUGUGGGAGGCAACGAGUGGGAAGUGUAUGGCCACACUAGCAGGCCAUGAAGACGAGGUGCUGGAUGUGUGUUUUGACUACACCGGUCAACUCAUAGCCACUGCCUCGGCUGACUGCACAGCGAGAGUGUCCAACGCUGCCAGACUGGAGGGCCACGAGGGAGAGAUACCCAAGCCCCAUGUUCAUUUCUUCACCUCACUAUGUGUGCUUGUCGAUCUCUCUGAAGUCUGUCAGAUCUGUUUUAACGCUCUCAAGCCAGUAGAGUUCUGUCGGCCAGCACUGACAUGAUGGCUCGCCUGUGGGAUGUCCAGUCUGGCGUCUAUCUUCAGGUCCCAGAGGGACACACGGACGAGAUCUUCUCCUCCGCCUUCAACUACGAGGGUGACACCA